ACGCUCGACACCUACGGGAGACAGCAGUGGGGAAUAUUGCACAAUGGGGGAAACCCUGAUGCAGCGACGCCGCGUGAGCGAAGAAGUAUUUCGGUAUGUAAAGCUCUAUCAGCAGGGAAGAAACUGACGGUACCUGACUAAGAAGCACCGGCUAAAUACGUGCCAGUAGCCGCGGUAAUCUGAGCGGGCUGGCAAGGC
rnacentral:rRNA from 1 species